AUGGGCUGUCUAUGCCUAUUCCGGGACAAAUGGAGGCGCAAGAGGCGGCCGGAGUCGUCGGCGCCGCCAUCCCAUUCUCAGGCAGCGGCGGCCUCCUACUACGCCGCCUGCACAGAGCCGUGCUCCCACGACGCGUCGGUACCAGCCGGCGCUGCCUCGACCGCAUCGCCAGCUUGCAGCGCUACUGCUACGAGCACAUCCGACGGCUCAGGCGCGCGGCCGGCGUCGAGCAAGUCCUUGGGCUCCUCCGCGCGGAGCCUCCCGGAGCUGUACGGGGAGAGGGGCGCGCACAGCCUGCUGGAGUUCGGUCUCAGCGAGCUCCGUGGCGCCACGGCCAACUUCAGCCCGCUGCUCAUGGUCGGCAUGGGCGGCUUCGGGUGCGUCUACAGGGGCGCCCUCCGCCUCCCCGGCGGGAACCCCCACGGCACCGCGGUCGCCGUCAAGAGGCUCAACCCCAACGGUGGCCAGGGACACAAGGAAUGGCUGGCCGAGGUCCAAUUCCUCGGCAUCGUCGAGCACCCGAACCUCGUUAAGCUCGUCGGCUACUGCGCAACACAGACCGAUCAAGGGCCGCAGAGGCUUCUGGUCUAUGAGUUCAUGCCCAACAAGACGCUGGACGACCACCUGUUCAACCCAGAGCACCCUGUCCUCCCAUGGGACGUCAGGCUGCAGGUAGCACUGGGUGCUGCUGAAGGGUUGCUCUAUCUGCACGAGGGCCUUGAGCUUCAGAUUAUAUACCGCGAUUUCAAGGCUGCAAACAUACUGUUGGAUGAGGAGUUCAGACCCAAACUUUCGGACUUUGGAUUAGCAAGGGAGGGGCCAUCCGAAGGCCAAACCCAUGUAUCUACAGUGGUAAUGGGAACCUACGGCUACGCAGCUCCGGACUAUGUCCAGACAGGGCAUCUCACCACCAAGAGCGACGUCUGGAGCUUCGGAGUGGUAAUGUAUGAAAUCCUCACGGCUCGACGCUCGGUAGAGAAAAAACGACCCAAGAACGAACAGAAGCUCCUGGAGUGGGUGAGGCGGCACCCAGCCGACAGCGAACAGUUCAGUGAGAUCAUCGACACAAGGCUUGAAGGGAGAUACUCCAUGAGAGGAGCAAGAAAGAUCGCCAAGCUGGCCAACAGCUGCCUUGCAAAGUAUGCAAAGAACCGCCCCACAAUGCUGGAGGUGGUUGAGAGGCUGAAGCUGGCAAUGCAGCACAAGGAACUGGAUGGUCAGGAUGUCCGUUCAGUGGAGGAAAGCUCGCUUCUUCAUGAGGCACCAACGACACCACCCAUGGAGGAUGAGGCUGCGGUGUCGGCAAGGCGGCGGAUGCUUCAUUUGGCUGCCCUAGGUGAGAAUGCAAAUGCUCAGGCAAGGAGAAGAUUGAUGCUCAUGAGGGCAGCUGCUCCUCGGACGUGA
rnacentral:rRNA from 1 species